UGCCAGCCGCCGCGGUAAUACGAAGGGGGCUAGCGUUGUUCGGAAUUACUGGGCGUAAAGCGCACGUAGGCGGACUUUUAAGUCAGAUGUGAAAUCCCGGGGCUCAACCCCGGAACUGCCUUUAAUACUGGCAGUCUAGAGUUCGAGAGAGGUGAGUGGAAUUCCGAGUGUAGAGGUGAAAUUCGUAGAUAUUCGGAGGAACACCAGUGGCGAAGGCGGCUCACUGGCUCGAUACUGACGCUGAGGUGCGAAAGUGUGGGGAGCAAACAGGAUUAGAUA
rnacentral:rRNA from 1 species